AAAGCGUGGGGAGCAAACAGGAUUAGAUACCCUGGUAGUCCACGCCCUAAACGAUGUCAACUAGCUGUUGGGGCCUUUUGGCCUUGGUAGCGCAACUAAAACGUGAAAUUGACCGCCUGGGGAGUACGGGCGCAAGAUUCAAACUCUAAGGAAUUGAGGCGGACCCCCACAAGCGGUGGAUGAUGUGGAUUUUAUCUAUGCAACGCGAAAAACCUUAUCUACCCUUGACAUGUCUGGAAAGCCUACCAGAUUUGGCUGUGCUCCUUAGAGAACCUCGAACACAGGUGCUGCAUGGCUGUCGUCAGCUCGUGUCGUG
rnacentral:rRNA from 1 species